UACGAAGGGGGCUAGCGUUGCUCGGAAUCACUGGGCGUAAAGGGUGCGUAGGCGGGUCUUUAAGUCAGGGGUGAAAUCCUGGAGCUCAACUCCAGAACUGCCUUUGAUACUGGGGAUCUCGAGUCCGGAAGAGGUGAGUGGAACUCCGAGUGUAGAGGUGAAAUUCGUAGAUAUUCGGAAGAACACCAGUGGCGAAGGCGGCUCACUGGUCCGGUACUGACGCUGAGGUGCGAAAAGCGGUGGGGAGACCAAAC
rnacentral:rRNA from 1 species